AUGAAAGGAAAGAUAGUUGAAGCAGAACCAUCCGACCGCCAGCAAUCCAAGGACAAGGGAAAGAAAGUGGUGUUUGAGAAAUCUGAGUUUCUGCCACUUGUUUACAAGGGAAAACAGAAGAUGGUAGAGACACUCAACUCCAAGCUACCUGAGAAAAGAGGCGGCAUUGCGGUCAUAUUGGCGUCAGCGUCAUCUUCAACGGGAAGGCCCACCAACACUCGGAAUAUACUUGGAGCUGAUGCUCCUGAGUUUGUCCCCUCACUGGCCCAUAAACCUAGUGAGGAACACUUGGGAAUAAUGCAAAAACACUCUGUGGAAUGGAAGGGAAUGUGCCUUACAUCUGGUGACCUCAAAACAGGCCACAUAAAUCCAGCAUCUGCACCAUCAGUUCCUCUGUUUGAAGAAGCACCCAUCUUACGAGAGUCCUUUGAAGGUUCGUUUGAUCUAGUGUGACAUCAACGGUGAUAGAGAAAUGUCCGUCGAUCUUGGAUUGAUCUUCCAGCUACCGUAGAUCAAGAGGCGGCGCGACACCGUUCUCAUGUGAGCAAGUCCGUCAAGGGGAGAUGGAAAAACACUCGUCCAAAGAUCCAAGUUCGGAAUCUAGAUGACUCAUAUGUUGUUCUUCCCGGUGCAUCCACAUCACAAAAUGAUGAGGGUGGUGCCAUCAUGCGACUGGCGGAGGCCCUGGCCCAACGGCGUGAGUACCAGGAAUUCAUUCAAAUGAUGAGGGUGGUUCAAGAGUAUGUGAACCAAGCUACUCAUGUCCGUUCAAGAAGGGCGGCGUACAAAGAAAGAGAAAGGGCAGUACGAGCAAGGUCUGGGUCAAGCAGAGUCCAAGGGGCAGAACACGCUCCAUCUAAUGAGGAUAGUCGGGCUAAAACCAAGAAUAAAUCAUUUGAGGUGUUCCAAGCAAUGCCAAUUGGUGUCAGGGUGGCGUUAGACAAGACCAGCAAAACAUCCUCCACAUCAACACAUUUCAAGAGGAAGAAGGCACGCAAAACUGUUGUAGAGGGUCCUCGUCGUAAGACACAAAGCCAAAAAGGUUCAGAUUAUGAAGAACUUGGGUCCAGCUAUGGUGGGUCUUAUAAUCCCCUAUCAGACAGUACCCCUUGUCCUUCUUAA
rnacentral:rRNA from 1 species